GCUGUAGCAGGAGUAGGGGACGCAGCCUUCUCUGGCAUAGUCUUGUCCCCCGGGACUCCCUGCCGGAGCCACACCGAGGUUGGUCCUUGGCAAAAUGGGGGGCGCUCCAGCCAGCACCAAGAGGACGCAAGGGAAGGAACACGGGCACAAAGUGCUGCUUGCCUAGCCGGCCCGAGUCACCCUGUGCGGCUGGCGAGCCGCGAUGGGCGGAUCUGCCGAGCAGGUGACCUGCCUGGGUCUGAGGGCAGGGACUGUGGCCCGCGGAGCGCACUGCGCACAGACCCCGUCCUUAGGAACACGAUGUCACUCAGCCUCGUGACAGUCACGGGGGUGCUUCAGGGGGCAGGCGGAGUUCGCUUCGGCAGGACAGCGCUGGCGCCUCCAGGAAGCCUGUGCCAUGAGUCAGUGCAGGAGCCCUGGGCUGUGUCUCCCAACUCACUGCCGCGUCCUGGUCGCGAUAUCGGUGCCCGUGCCUUUCCCAGCCGAUGUUGGCACGCGCCCACGGUCAGAGCACACGGGGAAGGCAGAAGCAGACAACCACAAGGAGUCGGUGGCUGCGUUCCCGAGCCUGUGAGAGCAGCGUGGCCACGUGGUUCCUUUGGCCCUCGGAAGACAUCAAAGCCGCAGGGAGGCCGACUUGGGGAUGCCGGCCACAGCAGAGAGCUGGAUCGGAAGUGGAGCAGCCGGGUCUCCAACAGGUGUCCAGAUGCGAUGCCGGCGUCGCAGGCAACGGCUUUACCUGCUGCGCCACAGCGCCAGCCCCAGGAGAACCGUUAGAUCAGAUGGCAUUUGGUCAAAGAGCCGUCUGUGCGUGUGGCACGCAGCUGGGGCAGGAGGCCCUCAAAGCAAGAUGUCUCCCAUGACGGGAAGGGGAGAGGCCACACCAGGCUGAUGCCACCAGUCCCGCGCUCCUCUCCCCCUGCCUGGGAUCCGAAGGAACACUCCAGUCUAGCACGGAUCUGGCGACCGGAACCGACUCCCUAAUUCACGGAGCUCGUGACACGUCCCUAGUGUUAAGCGGCUGACCAACAACAAAGAGACACCCACAUGCCAAGGCCUUGUUUCUUCCCUCCCGGGGCGUUUUGGCUGCCAUGGUCCUGCUCCUGCCCGGGGCAGCAGGGUUCCCAGCCCUUCCGCCCACCUCCACCGGAAGCAGCUGUUCUUGGUGACAAACCCUGGAUUCGAAAUGACGCCCUCCACAGCCAUCGGCUUCCGCAUUCCCGCCGUGUUGGGACGCUUCCCCCUAGGCUGCACCUGCCUCCUGCCCUCAGCCGGCUGCUCUCACCCGCGGCUGCCGUGGCCUCCCUGUGCCUCCACUGGGCGAGACACGUGGUCCCCACAGGCCCUGCACGCCCUGGAGGCCUGGUGUCAAAGCUCAGAAGCCUGGGCUCUCAUUUUCCUGGUGCUGUGAGCGACUUCUCCCCUCUGCUCUCGGGAUCUCCCUCCUGCGAGCUCAGAGUUCACGGAACUCAUUACAGCUCCAUUCAGUCCACGCUGCCCCAGGCCGGUGCCCAGCUCCACGGAGGCCGGCGACCAGGUCCAGCGAGGCUGGUGACCAGGUCCAGCGAGACUGGUGACCAGGUCCAGCGAGGCCAGUGACCAGGUCCAGCGAGGCCGGUGACCAGGCCCAGCGAGGCCGGUGACCAGGCCCAGCGAGGCUGGUGUUUGGUAUAACAGGACCGGCCGCAGGCAGAGAAGGCCAUGUCUGGACGAUGCAGGCAGGCGCCUGGCCCCAAAGCACGGGCUCAUUAGCGUCUGUGAGAAGCUCGGGAGCCACAGCGGACGAGGACAAACGCUCAAGGCCCCCGAGGACCUCAGUUGCUCCUGAUUUCUGGGAGAACUUGGAGAGGCGCACAGUUUCCUUCCCUGAUGUGCACGAUGGGCCAGGAGCCUGAGCUCUGCUCCACGGACGCCCCAGCGAGCCUGGGCCAGGAGGACGCGUGGUCCGGGUGACCCGGCCUCCCAGGCCCCUGCCCCAUAGACCCGCCCACAGCACGCCGCCUGGCCCUGCAGCAGGCUCCCACGGACCCCAAGGUACUCUGGAGAGGCGGGGCCUCUGUGUGGCUCACAGCCCACACCCAGCCAUGACCUGGGGUGACAUGGGGAGGCACAGGCAACUCUCAGCCCAGCACACCCCUGAAGGAGGAGGCGGCCUUGGGGCCCUCAGUGCUUUGUGUAAGAACUCACAUGUUCGGGGCCGGUGCUACGUCACAGCAGGUUAAGCCACUGCCUGUGAUGCCGGAUCUGCAUGAGCACCUGUUGGAGCCCCGGCUGCUCCAGUUCUGACCCAGCUCCCUGGUAGCGUUCCUGGGACAGCAGCAGAAGGUGGCCCCAGUGCUUGGGCCCCUGCACCCACGUGGGAGACCCGGAGGAAGCUCCAGGCUCCUGGGUCCAGGCUUCAGGUUGGCCCAGCCCUGGCUGUUGAGGCCACCCGGGGAGUGAGCCAGCGGAUGGACCAUCUCUCUUUCUGUAACCCUGACUUUCAAAUAAGUAAGUGCAUCUUUAAAAAGAGCA